GACGACGCUGGCGGCGUGCUUAAAACAUGCAAGUCGAACGGACUUCUCAUGAAGCUUGCAAUUGAGAAGUUAGUGGCGGACGGGUGAGUAACGCGUGGGCAACCUGCCCCUGAGCCCGGGAUAACAGUUCGAAAGGACUGCUAAGACCGGAUAUACUUGCGGGGAAGCAUUUCUCUGUAAGGAAAGGGAACGCUCAGGGAUGGGCCCGCGUCCCAUUAGCUAGUUGGUGAGGUAACGGCCCACCAAGGCGACGAUGGGUAGCCGGCCUGAGAGGGUGAACGGCCACACUGGGACUGAGACACGGCCCAGACUCCUACGGGAGGCAGCAGUUGGGAAUCUUCGGCAAUGGGCGCAAGCCUGACCGAGCAACGCCGCGUGAGUGAUGAAGGUUUUCGGAUUGUAAAGCUCUGUCUUCCGGGACGAUAAUGACGGUACCGGAGGAGGAAGCCACGGCUAACCUACGUG
rnacentral:rRNA from 1 species